rnacentral:lncRNA from 1 species
GCAUUUUACAUUUCAUGUGUGGUAGUUUGUAUAACAUUUAUAAUUUUUAAAACAAAUUUAACUUUAAUUUAACAAUUUUUUACCAUUUCAGUUUCUAAGCGAGCAAAACCCUUUCUACUUGUUGUAUGCAACAUGGUUUGACUUGCUGUCAUCUUUUUGAAUCUUUCAUUCUUUUCCUACAACAUCAUUUAUGCACGCUGUAAUAGACAUAAAUGUUGUGGUGAAUAUACAACAGAUGCAGUAAGCAGUAUGUUGCAAAGCACAAUAAAUAUACAAAAUCAAUGAAAGCUUACCUUAGAUGGUUGAGAAUUGCGUCAUUUGACAAAUGCUUGCCAUUCUUCCAUUGAUUCAACAUUAUUGGGCUUGAGGAUAGCAGCAGCUUGUGUCAUGCCAAUUGUUUUUCCUUUGUUAUUGAUUGCUUUAAACAAAUUACAUCGAUGAUCUCGCCAAUUUUUUUCCAUUUUUUGCAUGAUGUAUUUUCUAUGACAAGUAUCGACAUCAAACUUUUGCUGCAUCAAAGUACAUAAUAUUAAUAUUAAUUUCAUUUAAAUUAUAUAAAAGAUGUUACAUUUAUAUUACCUGCACAUGCUCCCAUAUGUCAUCAAGAAAUUCUUUGCUGAUAUCUUUCCAAUUUUUCCUUGUAAUUGGUAUAAGUUCUCUAGUUGUGGUCCCAAUAAAUGAUGACAACUUAUUUGACCCUUACAAAUUGGCUGUCCUCUUUCAUUAAACUCUACUGGUAACCUCGUACAUUUUCCCUUGUUGAGAUAAUUCAAUUUUGCUCGACCCCUUCCAUUCUUUUUGUUUUCAGUAGUACUAACACUAUUAGGCAACCCUUCUACCACAUCAUUUUCACGUACACCUAGAAUAGAAUUAGAACCUCCUUCUGAUAGUCUUAUCCCUUCAUUCCCUUCUCUUGUGGCAGCAACAAUUGAAGCUUUUUUUUAGCUCUUUUUGAUUUCUUAUAGCCUUGAUUAGAUGACUGUAUUAAACAAAAAAGAAAAAACAAGUAAUAUUUUAAUUAAAUUUAACAUAAAAAAUUAAAAAAUAAUAUAUAUACAAUCCAGGAACUUACUUCACCAGGAUAUGUCAUCUUAUUUCCAAUCGUGUGAACAUCAGCAUCCACAAAACUCAGCUUUCAUCGUUUGCAU